UACGUAGGUGGCAAGCGUUGUCCGGAUUUAUUGGGUUUAAAGGGUGCGUAGGCGGCCUAUUAAGUCAGGGGGUGAAAGACGGUAGCUUAACUAUCGCAGUGCCUUUGAUGCUGAUAGGCUUGAAUACACUUGAGGUAGGCGGAAUGUGACAAGUAGCGGUGAAAUGCAUAGAUAUGUCACAGAACACCAAUUGCGAAGGCAGCUUCUAAAAGUGUGAUUACGCUGAGGCACGAAAGCGUGGGGAUCAAACGG
rnacentral:rRNA from 1 species